rnacentral:rRNA from 1 species
AGUGAACGCUGGCGGUAGGCCUAACACAUGCAAGUCGAACGGCAGCACAGUAAGAGCUUGCUCUUACGGGUGGCGAGUGGCGGACGGGUGAGGAAUACAUCGGUAUCUACUUUUUCGUGGGGGGUAACGUAGGGAAACUUACGCUAAUACCGCAUACGACCUACGGGUGAAAGCAGGGGAUCUUCGGACCUUGCGCGAUUGAAUGAGCCGAUGUCGGAUUAGCUAGUUGGCGGGGUAAAGGCCCACCAAGGCGACGAUCCGUAGCUGGUCUGAGAGGAUGAUCAGCCACACUGGAACUGAGACACGGUCCAGACUCCUACGGGAGGCAGCAGUGGGGAAUAUUGGACAAUGGGCGCAAGCCUGAUCCAGCCAUACCGCGUGGGUGAAGAAGGCCUUCGGGUUGUAAAGCCCUUUUGUUGGGAAAGAAAAGCAGCAGGUUAAUACCCCGCUGUUCUGACGGUACCCAAAGAAUAAGCACCGGCUAACUUCGUG